rnacentral:rRNA from 1 species
CAGUCGCCGCGGGAAUACGUAGGUGGCAAGCGUUGUCCGGAAUUAUUGGGCGUAAAGCGCGCGCAGGCGGCCUAUCCAGUCUGUCUUAAAAGUUCGGGGCUCAACCCCGUGAUGGGAUGGAAACUAGUAGGCUAGAGUAUCGGAGAGGAAAGCGGAAUUCCUAGUGUAGUGGUGAAAUGCGUAGAUAUUAGGAAGAACACCGGUGGCGAAGGCGGCCUGCUGAACCAAAACUGACGCUGAGGCUCGAGAGCGUGGGGAGCGAACAGGAUUAGAUACCCGCGUAGUCCCUGUCUCUUAUACA